GGACUGAUGUGGAUCGGACGGGUUUUGUUCACACGCUACAACAUUACACAACCCUUACACGAUGUGUUAUGGGUCACACUCCUGCUGCCUCUCCUCCUGCUGUGUGCGCUGUUGAGCGGGCCACACCAAUGGGCGUUCCUUCUCCGCUGCGGGCGUUCCUCCGCAAGAGAUCUGCAAUUAACACACCUGCCUGUGAUGAGCGACCAGCCUUCAUAAGCCAGCGCGUCUUGAGAUCCGGUUCCAAAACUUAGCUUCUCCUACCAGUACACUUCCUCGUCAUCGAGUUGUGUGCCUCGUCUACCUGGACCCCCUUUGGAUUCCCUCUUGCCUUCCUGGACUAAGACCUCUCCUGUCCUCGACCAUCCGCCUGCCCCCUGACGUCCGAGCCUGCUUUUCCCCUUUUGGACUUCUGCCUGGAUCUCAACAUGCACUCUCAACACCCUCUGGUGACCACGCUCAGAUAAUACUCACACAUAGUCACACUACAUCUCUUUAAGCUAAUCACACACUGCACUCACAUACUGAGCUGUCAAUAAA